CUGGAAAAUAAUAAAAACUAGUUUUCAAACUGCGUGGGAACUUUGUCACACAUUUAAGGUUAAAGAAACCCGUGGGUUUCUGCGUGUACAGAACCGUUCAUGUAUCCGGCAGAAUCUUUGUCAGAACCGAGCUUCAACCCAUCUGCGGAACAAACGGCUGACGUCCACGUUUUGCUCCAGCGUCCGUGAUCCCAUUCAUUCCAACAUCAACAGUUUGAUUCAGAACAACUGUUCUAAACGACCUGGAGAAAUUCCUGAUGUGUCUUCCGAAUCAAACGAGAUCUUCGACGUGAGUUACCGGAAAACAAGUCCAACAAUCACUAAUUUCCCAAACCGCUCCAAUUAAACCGUCGGUUUGCAUCCGCGACGCUAACUUCGUGUGAAGCUAACUGUCAGAGUUUGGACCCCGUCCUCAGCUUCUGUUUCCUACUCGGAACCGUCGCCAACGUUCCCUUCACCGUGUCUGUGUUGAGCGGUGGAUAAACAUGCUCUUUAGCUCUGAAUUUAAGAGAGAAAUACCACCCAGUCUUCCAGAGUACGAACCAGAACCAACAGCAUCCCAGACCUCUCUGGACAGACAGAACAUCUGUUGAGGCUAAAGCUGAAGAUCCCUUCAGAUCAGAGACCAGGAGCAGAAACCCAAGUUGAUUUGGAGAAAGUCAGCGACCUCCUGACCCAGCAGCAGAGGUGGACAAGAUCGCUCCGACUCCCAGGAGGAGGAUGGGUCUCUGUGCGAAAAAUCGUCAUCUUCCAAUCUGAAAGUUGCUGCUUCAGUUUCAUGUUCCUCCCCCAUCAUGUUGAUGUGCCUUUGAGCAAAGUAGUUUUACCCCAUGUUGCCUACCAGCCCAUGUUGGUGUAUUAAUGUUCAUGUUAAAAACAUUUCACCUUGUAUGUCAUGUUUUUACUGUCCAAAAACAUUUGAGCCUGAUCAAAAAAUACAACUUAUUUAAAAAGAGAUUUUUGAUGGAGAUAAUCAUUGCUACAUUUAAUGAUCCACCAUUUAUGAAGCAUUCUCAGCUCCUACAUACAGGUGCGCCACAUGCAUCAUGUUCAAGCUUUUGUGAGACAUUAUCUUUCUCUACAAAAUGUUUUCCUCUUUAAAAAUAGCUGCACCAGGGUUUUAUUUUUAUUUUUUACUCCUGAACACCU